rnacentral:lncRNA from 1 species
AAUUUUCCUACAGUUAUUUCUGUGUUGCUGACGUUAAAAGAAUUCAUAGAAUAAACAGCUUAGGGAAAAAUGAUAAAUGUGUAAUCACACAACUCCUUAGCAUCGUUAAAUAUGUAUCUGAAGAGACCAUAUUAUAUUAUUCAACUCCCUCAAAUUUAACAAUCUAAAAUAGUGAUAUAUUUUGGCUGGUGAAAAUUUUAGACUUGACAUUCUACUGUGGAUUAUCAAUUUCAAAGAAUUACAUUGCCAAGAAUAUGCUACAAAUAAUGUUCAUGUUAUACUGAACCUAAUCUAGUUUUGCCUCCACAAGUUCAGAAGAUACUUCCAAUCCUUUGUCAGCAAAAGCAUCCAUUUUAAUUGAGCAUUCUGUUCCAUUUACUGUAUAUUUAAGUUGUUGUUAUUACAUAGCAGGAACUGUACUAGGAGAAGGAGACAGAAAGGUGGUGACAUACUUUUCCUUUCAUGGGGAAACAGUCUAAUGGAGAGAAGGACAAGUAAGAAACCACAAAGUGUAUUUUGGUAAGUGUUUUGAGAGGAGCUCUUGAGGCUCAAAGGAGGAGUUGUUGGUUGGGUCCCCUGAGAAAGCAGGCCUUGAAAUAAGGACUUGAAUAGAAUUAGUUUAUUUGGGAAAUGAUUACAGGGAACAGUAGUAGGGAGCGAGGAAGCAAGACAGGAAAGAGAUAGAGUCAAUUAAAGGUGCGUUGUCCAGCAAGUUCCCACCUGGCUGGCUGAAGCCUAAUCCAACUGGGGAAGUUUGGGAAAUGGUGUAAGACACAGUCUCAAAUUUAUCACACCUAAGGGAGAGGGAUUUGGAGUAUUUAUAACUGCCAGCAGUCCUUGGUUGCAGUCUAUUCAGAAAGGUAUUAAUUCUCUUACGCUUAUGAUUUGCAAAGGAAAAGAAAGUCCUCAGACCAAAACAAUAACAGCAACAACCAAAAACUGUUUUCGUUUGGAAGGAGGACCAGAAGGAAGGAAUAAGGGUCAGGCACUGACUCUACAGAUACUCAGACUCAAAGCUCACUGGAGAGCAGAAUGAGUAUUCCAAAAAUGGCCAUCAUAUGUCUGGACCCAUAUUCUCUUCUAGAACAUUGCCCCUACUCCAUCAAGAAGUUGAGUGUAUGUACUUCUCUCUGAACCUGGGUUGCCUCUCAUAUCUCCUCAUCAUAUAUACCUCUUCAAAUUCAAUCGAGAUUUCAAUUCUUCUCACUUCUCCCCAACCUUACUUUGAUCUCCUGGUAAUUUUAGAGUAAUUGAGAAUAUUUUCUAACAUACGUGUCAACAUAAUGAAGGAGCUGGGACCUAAAUGAAGAAGCGACAGAAUUUACAGUGGCUUUGAAUGCUGGUUCCUGAAUGGAUUUGCUUGACUGCAAUUCAAUCUUUUUUGUGGCUCAAGGCUCACUCACCUCUAAAAG